AGCUUUUUGAAUCCGUACUGAGAUUUUGCCAGACACCAACCCAUUAGGGCUGAUCAGGCUUCUAAGAUAAGCGAAGUC
rfam:Schistosoma haematobium scaffold386_38, whole genome shotgun sequence.